rnacentral:rRNA from 1 species
UACGAAGGGGGCUAGCGUUGUUCGGAAUUACUGGGCGUAAAGCGCACGUAGGCGGGUUAUUAAGUCAGGGGUGAAAUCCCGGAGCUCAACUCCGGAACUGCCUUUGAUACUGGUAAUCUAGAGAUCGGAAGAGGUUAGUGGAAUUCCCAGUGUAGAGGUGAAAUUCGUAGAUAUCAGGAGGAACACCGGUGGCGAAGGCGACUUCCUGGACACCAGACGACGCUGAGACGCGAAAGCGUGGGGAGCAAACAGG